rnacentral:tRNA from 1 species
CUUAAUUUAAAAGACAGUAGUUAAACUCUACUAUUAAGGA